GCUUCACAGUGACAAUAAUUACAGCCAAAUGAAAACUUUAUAUUAAUUUAGAGUUUAGUAUCAAUAAACAUCCAUCAUGCAGAUUAUGUUAAAAAAACACAUUUUAGGAAAAACAUCUUUAUUUAGAAAACAUCAUUUAUGAAACAGCAACACAAAACAUUUGAUACAAAAUUAAAGGAGAAACAUUAAAGUAACAAAAACAUUUAAUAGAAAUAAACAAAUGUUCAAAUAUAUUAAAAUAUACAUUUAAAUCUUUCAGGGGUCAAAGUUCAGGCUGGAUCUCUGCCUGGGAUCAUUUAUGGUCUGAACAAAUCGACACACCAGACCAACACCAUGUUGUUGGUCUCAUCCUGCAGCCGGUUCUAAAGAUGGAACCGGUUCUACAGAUGGAACCGGUUCUACAGACGGAAUCAGUUCUACAGACGGAACUGGUUCUACAGAUGGAACCGGGUUUCGGGUCGAUCUUCCUGUUCCUGUAGAGAAGAACCGGAUCCGACUCCAGAUCAGUUCUGCUGAAACAGAUCCAUUCUCUGCUCCACAUGACAGACUGAUGAUCUGAUCUGCAGGAGAGGAAACAACAGGACACAGAGGUCAAAGACUUGCUGCUAGCUUAACAGAGUUUCACAUCCUGGCUGCACCUUACGUUGCUUAUGUCAGUGCUGCCUUCAAUGAGUGUGGGAGAUGUCGGUAUCAGAGACCCGACUGGACCAGUUCUGAUCAGUGUGGAGGAACAGAGACACAUCUUAAAGUCAGAGGAUUCUGGACUUCAAUGAAUGCAGGUUCAGUUUGAGAUUAAUGGACCAGAACACAGAGGAGGAGUCCGGCUGCAUCCUGCUGCAGGUUUAUUGAUGGAUUAUUGAUCCUCUGGUUGAUCAGACAUGAUGUCUUUAACUCACUGAUGGUUGAUGGUGAAAACAUGAAGGACUCUUAAAGCUGCAGCUGGAGCUCAGAGGAAACCAACUGGAUCUAAACCAGUCAAAUCCUCCAGUCUGAUCCAGGCAGAGUCACUGGGAGAACUGGAGUCCAGACCCACUGGGACUGGUCAGAUGUCCUUCAUCACAGAUCAUCAUCAUCAUCAUCAUCACAGAUGUUCUGUCUGGUUCUGAUCCAUCUUAUGUUUUAUUAUUUCGUUUUUUCUAACAUGUUUUAUGCUAACUUAGCAUCGCUGCUAACCAUUAGCCUUCCUGUUAGCAGGAGCUUCAGAUGAAGCUUGAAACGAGGCCACAUGAUCAAUGACAUCACUUCCUGUCCAAACCUGCUGCCGUCUCUUCUGCUGAACUGCUGGCAUUGUUUCAAAAAUUCACAUUUUGGAAAAUAUUUUUAACAAUAAGUAAAAACACAAAGUGAAUUUUUAUUUUUUAUGUUUAUUUUUUCUUGAUAUAAACAGAAAUAAACAGCUGCUCUGCUGUUUGGGUUGGUUCCGACUCAAUGAAUAUGAAAAUAUUUUAACUUCUAAUCAAUUAUUAUUAUGAUUCACUUUUGCAUAAAUGUUGAUUUUCUGCCAUUUUAUUUUCUAUUUUCCAUUUUUAAAUCAAAUAUUUUCAUAAAAAUCUUGAUGCCAUUCAGAAACUUUAGCAGAGGAAACGCCAAAGCUGAGCUGCAUAGGAACACAUCAUAUCUGACCUUUGACCUUUGACACGUCCUUUAGUUCCUCCCACCAUUAAACUAUUUAACAUUUAGAUUGUUACUGAAACCUGGACUGUUGCUGACAUCUUGCUCUGCUGUUUAUCUGAAGCUGUUUGGAUGAUUUUCACUGCAAGUCAAAAUAUAAUUUAGUUAAAUUUAGUUAAAAGUCAGAAAAGAUUCUUAGAUAAUCCAGAGUAGAUUAAAGAAAAGUCAUAACUUUAAUGUUUUCCUCCAUCAUGAAGAUGUUUCUGGUUUUUCUCCAACAAACUGGUGAAACCAGAAACUGAACAUCUGGACUCAGAUUAAAGUCAUAAAGACGAAUAAAAUGACUUCAUGCUGUUUGGACUGGAUUUUAUUCAGGAAUAUCAGAGGAAAAUGAAGAUACA